AGAGUUUGAUCCUGGCUCAGAAUGAACGCUGGCGGCGUGCUUAACACAUGCAAGUCGUACGAGAAAAGUUCCUUCGGGGGCUUAGUAAAGUGGCGAACGGGUGAGUAACGCGUGGGUAACCUGCCCUUGAGUGUGGGAUAACUCCGGGAAACUGGGGCUAAUACCGCAUGAUAUCUUGAGAGCUCUGGCUCUUGAGAUCAAAGGUGGCGCGGUUCGACCGCUACCGCUCAUGGAGGGACCCGCGUCCCAUUAGCUUGUUGGUGGGGUAACGGCCUACCAAGGCUUCGAUGGGUAGCCGGCCUGAGAGGGUGUCCGGCCACACUGGAACUGAGACACGGUCCAGACUCCUACGGGAGGCAGCAGUGGGGAAUAUUGGGCAAUGGGCGCAAGCCUGACCCAGCGACGCCGCGUGGGUGAUGAAGGCCCUUGGGUCGUAAAACCCUGUCAUGUGGGACGAAAGACCUGGGCUCUAACAUAGCCCGGGUUUGACGGUACCACAGGAGGAAGCCCCGGCUAACUCCGUGCCAGCAGCCGCGGUAAUACGGAGGGGGCGAGCGUUAUUCGGAAUUAUUGGGCGUAAAGGGCAGGUAGGCGGCUUUGCGUGUCCUCUGUGAAAGCCCUCGGCUCAACCGAGGAAUUGC
rnacentral:rRNA from 1 species